CACGUAGGGGACGAGCGUUGUCCGGAUUCAUUGGGCGUAAAGCGCGCGUAGGCGGCUCGGAAAGUCGGUCGUGAAAUGCCGGGGCUCAACCCCGGGACUGCGUCCGAUACUCCCGAGCUGGAGGCAGGUAGGGGAGAUCGGAAUUCCUGGUGUAGCGGUGAAAUGCGCAGAUAUCAGGAGGAACACCGGUGGCGAAGGCGGGUCUCUGGGCCGAAAUUGACGCUGAGGAGCGAAAGCGUGGGGAGCAAACAGG
rnacentral:rRNA from 1 species